AGUGAACGCUGGCGGUAGGCCUAACACAUGCAAGUCGAACGGCAGCACAGUAAGAGCUUGCUCUUACGGGUGGCGAGUGGCGGACGGGUGAGGAAUACAUCGGAAUCUACUUUUUCGUGGGGGAUAACGUAGGGAAACUUACGCUAAUACCGCAUACGACCUACGGGUGAAAGCAGGGGAUCUUCGGACCUUGCGCGAUUGAAUGAGCCGGUGUCGGAUUAGCUAGUUGGCGGGGUAAAGGCCCACCAAGGCGACGAUCCGUAGCUGGUCUGAGAGGAUGAUAGGCCACACUGGAACUGAGACACGGUCCAGACUCCUACGGGAGGCAGCAGUGGGGAAUAUUGGACAAUGGGCGCAAGCCUGAUCCAGCCAUACCGCGUGGGUGAAGAAGGCCUUCGGGUUGUAAAGCCCUUUUGUUGGGAAAGAAAAGCAGCAGGUUAAUACCCCGCUGUUCUGACGGUACCCAAAGAAUAAGCACCGGCUAACUUCGUG
rnacentral:rRNA from 1 species